rnacentral:other from 19 species
AUUUAAAUACAAUUCUUGUUAAGGUUCAAC